UAAAGCUGACCCACUUGUAAACUCCGGU
rnacentral:sRNA from 1 species